rnacentral:rRNA from 1 species
CUCGUAGGUGGCCAACUAAGUCGGACGUGAAAUCCCUCGGCUUAACCGGGGAACUGCGUCCGAUACUGGUUGGCUUGAGUUUGGGAGAGGGAUGCGGAAUUCCAGGUGUAGCGGUGAAAUGCGUAGAUAUCUGGAGGAACACCGGUGGCGAAGGCGGCAUCCUGGACCAAUAUUGACGCUGAGGAGCGAAAGCUAGGGGAGCAAACG